rnacentral:rRNA from 1 species
CCUACGGGUGGCAGCAGUGAGGAAUAUUGGUCAAUGGGCGCGAGCCUGAACCAGCCAAGUAGCGUGAAGGAUGACGGCCCUACGGGUCGUAAACUUCUUUUAUAAAGGAAUAAAGUCAGGCACGCGUGCCUUGUUGUAUGUACUUUAUGAAUAAGGAUCGGCUAACUCCGUGCCAGCAGCCGCGGUAAUACGGAGGAUCCGAGCGUUAUCCGGAUUUAUUGGGUUUAAAAGGAGCGUAGAUGGGUUGUUAAGUCAGUUGGUAAAGUUUGGGGCUCAACCGUAAAAUUGCAAUUGAUACUGGCAGUCGUGAGUACAGGUGAGGUAGGCGGAAUUCGUGGUGUAGCGGUGAAAUGCUUAGAUAUCACGAAGAACUCCGAUUGCGAAGGCAGCUUACUAAACUGCCACUGACACUGAUGCACGAAAGUGUGGGUAUCAAACAGGAUUAGAUACCCGUGUAGUC